AGCGAACGCUGGCGGCAGGCCUAACACAUGCAAGUCGAACGAACUCUUCGGAGUUAGUGGCGGACGGGUGAGUAACACGUGGGAACGUGCCUUUUGGUUCGGAAUAACUCAGGGAAACUUGUGCUAAUACCGAAUGAGCCCUUCGGGGGAAAGAUUUAUCGCCAUUAGAGCGGCCCGCGUCUGAUUAGCUAGUUGGUGAGGUAACGGCUCACCAAGGCGACGAUCAGUAGCUGGUCUGAGAGGAUGACCAGCCACACUGGGACUGAGACACGGCCCAGACUCCUACGGGAGGCAGCAGUGGGGAAUCUUGCGCAAUGGGCGAAAGCCUGACGCAGCCAUGCCGCGUGAAUGAUGAAGGUCUUAGGAUUGUAAAAUUCUUUCACCGGGGACGAUAAUGACGGUACCCGGAGAAGAAGCCCCGGCUAACUUCGUG
rnacentral:rRNA from 1 species